GACGAACGCUGGCGGCGUGCUUAACACAUGCAAGUCGAACGGAAAGGCCCUGCUUUUGUGGGGUGCUCGAGUGGCGAACGGGUGAGUAACACGUGAGUAACCUGCCCUUGACUUUGGGAUAACUUCAGGAAACUGGGGCUAAUACCGGAUAGGAGCUCCUGCUGCAUGGUGGGGGUUGGAAAGUUUCGGCGGUUGGGGAUGGACUCGCGGCUUAUCAGCUUGUUGGUGGGGUAGUGGCUUACCAAGGCUUUGACGGGUAGCCGGCCUGGGAGGGUGACCGGCGACAUGGGGACUGAGAGAGGGACCAGACUCCUACGGGAGGCAGCAGUGGGGAGUAUGGCAGAAUGGGGGGAAGCCAGAGGCAGCAGCGCUGCGUGCGGGAUGCCGGGUUUCGGGGGGUGAACAGCUGUGGACGGUGACGAAGCGUGAGUGACGGUAAUGGGUAAAGAAGCACCGGCUAACUACGUG
rnacentral:rRNA from 1 species